rnacentral:rRNA from 1 species
AUACGUAGGGGGCGAGCGUUGUCCGGAAUGAUUGGGCGUAAAGGGCGCGUAGGCGGCCCGGUAAGUCUGGAGUGAAAGUCCUGUUUUUAAGAUGGGAAUUGCUUUGGAUACUGUCGGGCUUGAGUGCAGGAGGGGUAGGUGGAAUUCCCAGUGUAGCGGUGAAAUGCGUAGAGAUUGGGAGGAACACCAGUGGCGAAGGCGACUUACUGGACUGUAACUGACGCUGAGGCGCGAAAGUGUGGGGAGCAAACAGGAUUAGAUACCCUGGUAGUCCACACUGUAAACGAUGAAUGCUAGGUGUAGGGGGUAUCGACCCCUUCUGUGCCGCAGUCAACACAAUAAGCAUUCCGCCUGGGGAGUACGGCCGCAAGGUUGAAACUCAAAGGAAUUGACGGGG